CAGAGGAAAUCAGGCUUCUCAGGGCUGUUCAGGGAGCUUGAAGAAACACCCUCCUGGUACUGUGUAAGAGUUACAGGGGCAUUUAACUGUGUGCAGGUGUUUUUCAUGAAGUCCUGCUGCUGUUGCUGCAGCUCUGGGUCUGGUGAUACAGCUUGAUAUAAAGAUCAGGACAUCUGCACAAGCCUGGAGGAGGCAGCUGAUGUGGAAAGGACUCUGAGCUUCUGGUUUGAGGGCUACCCCGAGUAAGAAACAAGCACUGACUUUACAUGUGGAAUUUGGUGACUUUGCUCAACAUCUGAACUUCUUGAACCAUGGUAUUCCUUCUUAGUCAAAGAGACCUAAGAGGUCCUCAGCAACUAGGAAAUUCUUUACACUGGAAAAACACCAAUUGAAAUGGAAAUGUUUUCAAAAGGAGGAUAUCAAGUCUGAAAUAAUUUUCAGUGUAAUCAACAGAGUAGAGUUGCCCUGAUAUUCUCAAUUACUGUUUAAAAACAGUGAAUGAUAGAGCUUAAUAUAUCACACUUCAGCCUUACUUUUUGAGAAGCAUGUUCUGUAACUAGCUUUCUGUUGAGCUAUGCUGU